UAACACAUGCAAGUCGAGCGAGGAGAUUCCUUCGGGAUGAUCCUAGCGGCGGACGGGUGAGUAACACGUGGGCAACCUGCCUCAUAGAGAGGAAUAGCCUUCCGAAAGGGAGAUUAAUACCUCAUAACAUUGCAGUUUCGCAUGGAACAGCAAUUAAAGGAGCAAUCCGCUAUGAGAUGGGCCCGUCGGCGCAUUAGCUAGUUGGUGAGGUAACGGCUCACCAAGGCGACGAUGCGUAGCCGACCUGAGAGGGUGAUCGGCCACAUUGGGACUGAGACACGGCCCAGACUCCUACGGGAGGCAGCAGUGGGGAAUAUUGCACAAUGGGGGAAACCCUGAUGCAGCCAACGCCGCGUGAGUGAUGACGGCCUUCGGGUUGUAAAGCUCUGUCUUCAGGGACGAUAAUGACGGUACCUGAGGAGGAAGCCACGGCUAACUACGUGCCAGCAGCUGC
rnacentral:rRNA from 1 species